UACGAAGGGGGCUAGCGUUGUUCGGAAUUACUGGGCGUAAAGCGCACGUAGGCGGAUAUUUAAGUGAGGGGUGAAAUCCCCGGGCUCAACCUGGGAAUGGCAUUUGGGACUGCAAGGCUGGAGUGCGGCAGAGGAGACUGGAAUUCCUGGUGUAGCAGUGAAAUGCGUAGAGAUCGGGAGGAACAUCAGUGGCGAAGGCGGCCAUCUGGAUCAACACUGACGCUGAGGCACGAAAGCGUGGGGAGCAAACAGG
rnacentral:rRNA from 1 species